UGUGGUUUGAGUUUUGAGCAGACAUAAUUGUGCUAGCCUAAGAAAUAACAAAGAAAAUACAUAUGAGAUGGAACAAUGGUCACAUUAAACGAGACUAUGAAACUGGAAGUACCUAACAAUUGGUGCAUCAGUAUCAAAUCAAUUGAUAACUCCCCAGUUUAUUAAAUGAACAUCUAUCUAAUCCCAAGAAUGAAGAGAUCACAACAGAAUCCUCAUAGCACUUGAAAGAUUCACAUCAAGCUNNNNNNNNGGUGUCCCAAUGAAAUGCAACACUUCUCAUUUGCUAGUCAUUCUUGGUUCAGCUCAUCAAACAUUUCUCUAUGCAUCUAUCUUUUGAAGCUCUGUACUGCAGACUCUUAUAAACCUUAAAACCAGAGGAACAAUUAUAUUGGUCGGCCUGAUCGCAAAACCAAACACAUUGCAUGAGAUGCACCAACAGCAACAGACAGCACAUUGUGGGGUCCCAGGUCAUCAUCAUCCUCCAUUAGAAAAUUGACCUCAACAGGACAUGGUUGCACCUCUGGCAGACCUGGAAUCCCCAAUUGAGAAUCUUUGGCAUUUCCCCACAUGUAAAGCUUCCCUUUAUCAGUUACAGCUGCUGAAGAUGAACCUCCACAGGCAAUAUAAACAACGCGUUGAUCAGCUAAAGCGUCAAUCACCACUGGUAUUUUCUGGUUUUGAUUUGAAGGAUGGCCCAGCUGACCAUGUCCACCAAAGCCCCAUGAAAGAAUUUUACCUUCAUCAGUUAAGGCAA
rnacentral:misc_RNA from 1 species